AAGGUGAGUCUGAAUGUCAAAGUCCUCUAAUGAGGGUGAGGGAGAGUCUCUUUUAUAGAAUAAGGGCUCCCUCCCCUUUUACAUUUGUCAUGGGCCUAGGGAUGAGGCCCAAAGACGAGGCCCAAUAUAUGGUACCAACACAUCUCAUAAACCAAUUAAAGCAGCUGAAUCCACAUAAUAAAAUCGGUCUCUAUUGAAUUUAUAUUAAGAAUAGAGAAAAUAAUAUUUAAUAAACAACUGAUUGAAUCACAUUAUUGCUAACUCAUUGUGAGGCUAAGCCCACCCCCUACCCCUUAGUGUAGAUAAUAUCAUUUGUUCAAAAAAAAAAAAAAAUCAUUUGACAACUAAUUUGAUUACAUUAUUAUCUACGUGUGAAAUACAUUUUUUAUAACCAGCAUUACACGCCUCUUAAGAUGUUUUGAACUUGUUUAAAAAUACAGAAAAUAAAAUUUAAUGAACAACUGAUUGAAUCACAUUAUUGCUAGCCUAUUGUAAUGUACUAAUUAUUAAAAUAAAAAAUAAAAUAAAAACUGUACAAAAAAAUUUAAUCAUUAAAAAAACACUGUUAAAAUGACGAAAAUACCCUUACCACAUUUGAUGCAUUAUUUUGGGUUACUUUUAAAUUUUUUUGCCUGAGGAGCAUUUGAUGCAUUGGGGAGCAUUUGAUGCAUUGGGCCCUUGGCUUUAUAUAUAAAAUAUACUCAACAAGUUGGGUUUGAUUGGUAAGCCUUAUCACCAUUGCUAAUUUUCUUGUCGAUGUACACAACAAGUUGGGGUUGAUUUUAUAGAAAUGCAUUAUUGCAGAUAAUCAUUGCAAAAAUGAAACCAAUUAUUUGAUGGGAGCAAAUUGUUUAUAAAGUGAUGAUGCAUCCAUUCCAUCCUAGGAAUUAGGAUAGAAGGGUUUUUCAUGAGGUCAGGUAUCUUUAAAUAGAUGAUGUUUUGAAAACACAUUUUCUUCCAACAUUGUUCUCAUUGGCUUUACAAUACGGGGUUCUACAUCGGCCUCAUACACUUUCAGAAAUUCCACAUCACUGCAAAAGAUAAUUCGGACAAAAUGUUUGGAUUUUUUUUGAAGAUUUUGCAUGAUUCUGAUUGCAUAUAGUAUUGCAUUUAUUUGCGUCUCAAAUGAUAUAAUGCACCGAGAGUUAUUUCAAUGUAGAGAUGUAAUUUUGGGAUUUGACUACAAUGAUACUUCCUACUCAGUGUUAAAAAAUUUAUAUAAGAUUUAACCGUUAUAAAAUUCCAUUUGAUUUCUAUAUGCAUGAUCUAACAAUUGAUUUUCUAGACGACCUGGUGAUACGUACUAUAGAAAGAAAAAUGUCAAAUUUAAGACGUAAAGGUCACAUAUUUUGAACUGUAUGAAAAGUUUCAAAAUCUAACUUUAGAGGGGGGUUGUAAUCGGCCAAAAUAUGGGGGUCGGGUGAGGAUAAACAAAAUACCUCUUUCAUUUCUAUAGUUCUACUUCAACGAGGAAAAUGUAAUCUAUGUCAUUUAUUAUUCUCUUUAAACAAGAUUAAUAUCUUAGAUUUGAUCAAUUGAAGAACUUUUCAACCAACAACAAAUGUAAAAUGUCAAUUCGAAUGCAUUUAACAUCACUCAUUACAUCGCCAAUUGAUUUUCAGACUUCAAUUAUUACUUCUACAAUAUUCUCUCAUUUUGACCUCAUUUAAGUAUCUGUUUUGAUUUUCUCAAUUCAAAGACUAAAAAAAGAUAAUAAAGUGUGGAGAAGACUCUAGUGCAUAAAUCUGUGUGUUUCUUUUCAAAACUCUAUAGUUAAUAUUUACAAAUGCUAAAAGCCCAUAUAAUUUGUAAACUACAUGAUGUGACUGUUAAUGAUUAAAUACUCCUUUAAAAAUUUAAACACGAAAUUCAAUCAUCAACUGUCAUAUCAUAUGAUUUACAAAAUAUGAUUAAAAAACUAAACAAACUCUUUAGCAUUCACCCUUCGUAGAAUAUACCGUUGAUCCUACCAAAACAAGCGGGACAAAUAAGAAUCCUACCGAAAACGAAUGUGAGAUUUAAAAAUACGAAAAACACUUAGCUGGGCACUGUAAUAAUUGUAGCAAAAUACAAAAACUAAAAACCAUGAAAUUGUGACAAAAAAUUAGG
rnacentral:lncRNA from 1 species